UACGUAGGGGGCGAGCGUUGUCCGGAAUCAUUGGGCGUAAAGCGCGCGUAGGCGGUCAGGUAAGUCCGGUGUGAAAGUCAAAGGCUCAACCUUUGAAUGCCGCUGGAUACUGCUUGACUUGAGUCCGGAAGGGGCGAGUGGAAUUCCUGGUGUAGCGGUGAAAUGCGCAGAUAUCAGGAGGAACACCAAUGGCGAAGGCAGCUCGCUGGAACGGUACUGACGCUGAGGCGCGAAAGCGUGGGGAGCGAACAGG
rnacentral:rRNA from 1 species